UACAGAGGGUGCUAGCGUUGUUCGGAAUCAUUGGGCGUAAAGGGCGUGUAGGCGGUUUGUUAAGUCAUGUGUGAAAUCCCUCGGCUCAACCGGGGAACGACGCAUGAAACUGGCAAGCUAGAGUACCAAAGAGGGGGGUGGAAUUCCCGGUGUUGCGGUGAAAUGCGUAGAUAUCGGGAGGAACACCUGUGGCGAAGGCGGCCCCCUGGUUGGAUACUGACGCUGAUACGCGAAAGCGUGGGGAGCAAACAGG
rnacentral:rRNA from 1 species